GCCUGGGUGGCUCAAUCGGUUGAGCGUCCGACUUCAGCUCAGGUCACGAUCUCACAGUUCGUGGGUUCGAGCCCCACCAUCAGGCU
rfam:Felis catus isolate Cinnamon breed Abyssinian chromosome D3, whole genome shotgun sequence.